AAGCGGAGGAAAAGAAACUAACAAGGAUUCCCCUAGUAACGGCGAGUGAAGCGGGAUGAGCUCAAAUUUAAAAUCUGGCUGCCUCAGGUGGUCCGAGUUGUAGUCUAGAGAAGCGUUUUCCGCGUUGGCCUGUGUACAAGUCCCUUGGAAUAGGGCGUCAUAGAGGGUGAGAAUCCCGUCCUUGACACAGAUCCCCAAUGCUUUGUGAUGCGCUCUCAAAGAGUCGAGUUGUUUGGGAAUGCAGCUCAAAAUGGGUGGUAAAUUCCAUCUAAAGCUAAAUAUUGGCGAGAGACCGAUAGCGAACAAGUACCGUGAGGGAAAGAUGAAAAGCACUUUGGAAAGAGAGUUAAACAGUACGUGAAAUUGUUGAAAGGGAAACGAUUGAAGUCAGUCAUGCUUUCUAGGAUUCAGCCGGUUCUUCCGGUCUAUUUCCUAGUUAGCAGGCCAGCAUCAGUUUUGAUCGGUGGAAAAUGGUAGAAGGAACGUGGCUUCCCCGGAAGUGUUAUAGCCUUUUAUCGCAUACAUCGAACGGGACUGAGGAACGCAGCGUGCCUUUAUGGUCGGGGUUCGCCCACGAACGCGCUUAGGAUGCUGGCAUAAUGGCUUUAAACGACCCGUCUU
rnacentral:rRNA from 1 species